GUGGUCCUAUCUUGUGUUGUGUUGUGUUGUGUUGUGUGUGUGUAUGAGUGUGUAUGAGUGUGUAAACGCCAAAGUGCAUCACACUUUUUGCACAAUAGUGUUUGUGAAGGUGUCAAAGCUAGCCUGCCUCUCUCUCUCUCUCCUCCACCCCAGUCACCAUGACAACCCCUUGAGUCAAGCCUCACACAGCUAUACAUUUCUCCCUUCCCCCAUCCCCCACUUGGGAAUCGCUCGCUCACUCACUCACUCACUCACUCACUCACUCAUUGACUCACUCAGUUGGGUAACCUGUUGCUGGCCUAUCCUCUCCAAUAUCCUUUAUCUCUCACAUCUCUUCAACUGUCUAUUAUUUCAAUCCCGAAAAUCACAAUCAACCAUCAACCAUCAACCAUCAAAUCCCUAUGUACCCCCAACAACCACCUGAAGGACUCCAUCUUCUUAAAAUGCCUUUGGCUGUAUGCCUCAAUGCUCUGUUCUCAACCUCCACAGCCAGGUCUUUCUUCUCUCUCUCUCUCUCUCUCUCCCUCUCUCUCUCCCUCUCUCUCUUUCUCUCUCGUGGCAUCAAGGUUUCAUGCUGUUCACAUCAGUCUCCCCCCUGAUUACCAUUUCUACCUGUGGAGAGAAAUAAAUGAUAGAACACUCCACCACCCUGCCAGCCACACAUUCUCAUUAGGAAAUGUUCAAUUGGCUUGCUCUCAUCACAUCCACAGAUUUAUUUCGGUGAGUGUGAAUUUGAAACAUAACAUCUCGCACUCUCCCACCUCUCAUGCAAUUAACUUAAUGCAGCUCAAUCUGUCUUUCCCCACAUAAAACACAUUCAGCCAGUCAGUCAGUCAGUCAGUAAAUCCAAACUGAGAGCCCGUAGCCUCUGGGAGUGAAAGUUGUCGGUGUGUUGCAACAGUCUGUUAUGUCUGCUUUCGGCUGUCUCUGCUUUUGCCCCAUAAAUAUUUGGUUUAUAUUUCUGUUGCAAAAAAAAACAAACAAAAAAAAACAAUCGGUACAAACAGACAACGCAACGCAGAGGAAUUUUUCAUUGGAGUCUGUGGCCAAAUCCAAUCGUUACAAACAGACAACACAGAGGAAUUCCGUUUGAAUCCCCGUGGGUCGGCCUUUGAGCAGACAGCGUCUCUGACCCAUCAAAGGCGGGGCGUUAUCUGCGAUGCGCAGUAACGCUAAGACUCUUUCAAAUCCCUGUCCACGACUCUAGGCAUCACUGUUGUGA
ensembl:lncRNA